CUUGUCACCAGUGGAGUACCUCAGGGAUCUGUACUUGGACCCAUUCUCUUUAAUAUUUUUAUUAGUGAUAUUGCAGGUCUUGAUGGUAAGGUAUGUCUUUUUGCCGAUGAUACUAAGAUAUGUAACAGGGUUGAUGUUCCAGGAGGGAUAAGCCAAAUGGAAAAUGAUUUAGGUAAACUAGAAAAAUGGUCAGAGUUGUGG